rnacentral:rRNA from 1 species
CAAUAGCGUAUAUUAAAGUUGUUGCGGUUAAAAAGCUCGUAGUUGGAGUUCUGCCAGGUGACGCUCGUCCGCCCAAGUGGUGUGUACAGGGCGUGCAUCUGGCCCUUUCAAGGGGAACGUGUCUGCACUUUACUGUGUGGUGCGAGAUCCUUGACUUUUACUUUGAGGAAAUCAGAGUGUUCCAAGCAGGCUCUCGUCGUGUAUAGCUCAGCAUGGAAUAAUAGCAUUGGACUUCGUUUCUAAGCUGUUGGUUGCAAGAAGCGAGGUAAUGAUGAAGAGGGAUAGUUGGGGGCAUUCGUAUUUAACUGGCAGAGGUGAAAUUCUUGGAUUUGUUAAAGACGGACUACUGCGAAAGCAUCUGCCAUGGAUGUUUUCAUUG